rnacentral:rRNA from 1 species
GUACACUCCUGCGGGAGGCAGCAGUGGGGAAUAUUGGACAAUGGGCGCAAGCCUGAUCCAGCCAUGCCGCGUGAGUGAUGAAGGCCCUAGGGUUGUAAAGCUCUUUCACCGGAGAAGAUAAUGACGGUAUCCGGAGAAGAAGCCCCGGCUAACUUCGUGCCAGCAGCCGCGGUAAUACGAAGGGGGCUAGCGUUGUUCGGAAUUACUGGGCGUAAAGCGCACGUAGGCGGAUCGAUCAGUCAGGGGUGAAAUCCCAGGGCUCAACCCUGGAACUGCCUUUGAUACUGUCGAUCUGGAGUAUGGAAGAGGUGAGUGGAAUUCCGAGUGUAGAGGUGAAAUUCGUAGAUAUUCGGAGGAACACCAGUGGCGAAGGCGGCUCACUGGUCCAUUACUGACGCUGAGGUGCGAAAGCGUGGGGAGCAAACAGGAUUAGAAACCCGGGUAGUCCCAUGAU